AGUGAACGCUGGCGGCAGGCCUAACACAUGCAAGUCGAACGGCAGCACAGUAAGAGCUUGCGCUUACGGGUGGCGAGUGGCGGACGGGUGCGGAAUACAUCGGAAUCUACUUUUUCGUGGGGGCGAACGUAGGGAAACUUACGCCAAUACCGCAUACGACCUACGGGUGAAAGCAGGGGAUCUUCGGACCUUACGCGAUUGAAUGAGCCGAUGUCGGAUUAGCUAGUUGGCGGGGUAAAGGCCCACCAAGGCGACGAUCCGUAGCUGGUCUGAGAGGAUGAUCAGCCACACUGGAACUGAGACACGGUCCAGACUCCUACGGGAGGCAGCAGUGGGGAAUAUUGGACAAUGGGCGCAAGCCUGAUCCAGCCAUGCCGCGUGGGUGAAGAAGGCCUUCGGGUUGUAAAGCCCUUUUGUUGGGGAAGAAAAGCAGCAGGUUAAUACCCCGCUGUUCUGACGGUACCCAAAGAAUAAGCACCGGCUAACUUCGUG
rnacentral:rRNA from 1 species